rnacentral:lncRNA from 1 species
GCACAGGAUCGAAUGUCACAUCUUUAUAUAUAACAGGAGUUCUAUACAAAAUAAAUAAUUACAUUAUAAGGAGACAACGGUCCAGCAACCCAAAGUUGACUGGGAGACGACGGCCUAGACCACUCACGAACUCAUCACAGCAUCCUCCACGCGCCUCAUCCUGUGGUACCUGCUCCUGACCUGUGGGGGGGUGUGAGACAGCAAGAGUGAGCUCACAUACGUUCAUCGCUCAGCAAGUUGUGGGGAAUAAUGUGUAUGAACUCGCCAAAGGUGGGAGCUCAUGUGAAGUGUAAGGCUUACCAAAGAGGAUGGCUGAAGCUGAGCAUUGCUUUUAAAGUUGGUCAAAUUUUUAUUAGCCAUUACUAAGUAUAAGUAAAUACCAACCCAAUUAAAUAGUAGAACAGAAGUAACAACAUCACCUGCGAUGCAAUGCAUAUGACAAAUUGAAUUUAAGUUCCAUAGAUUAAUCAUGUGAGUGUCCGAGCCGCUCAUGACCGUGAGCACGGCUAGUAUACCAGUUUUACACUCUGCAGAGGUUGCGCAUCUUUACCCACAAGUCAUGUUACCCAUCUGCCAAGGGAUCGCGACUUCCCAUACACCUCUACCGAGGAGGCGAGGCAGGGUAACACUACGAGGCCUUUACAAAGUUCCACUAGCUUCAGAAAACCCGCUACAGUUUAUAGGAAGCUCCAAUGCAGGAAUCCCUUGCAGGACCGCCAUCACAGCAAAAUCCUCCCGAGGGCCUCCCCAGGAAUCCCUUGCAGGACCGCCAUCACAGCAAAAUCCUCCCGAGGGCCUUCCCAGGAAUCCCUUGCAGGACCGCCAUCACAGCAAAAUCCUCCCGAGGGCCUCCCUACACUGACCACUCCCCUACUGCCCUUGCCCCUUUCGGGUAAGGUAGUCUUCCACUAGCUUUCCUAAUAAAUCGGCCAAGGGCGUCCCAUUAAACCCUUGUGGUAGCACUGUUUUCCCGGGUGGUUCUCCAUGUUCCAAUUAACAUAAUGAUCUUAUCAUGAACAGUGAUAAUAAACAGAUAAUAAAAGUGUGAUCAUGAAUAAUGUAUCUUCAUACCCAAACCACAUAAAGCACUAGCAAGUACUACCCAAAAAGUUCAGUGGUAAACAAGGUAUAAAGAUAGACAAACUAGGGUAACCUAUUGGGUCCCAUCAAAAUUAACCUAUGCAGAUCAUUAUGAUUAAUCAGAACAUGGCUGGGUAAAAAGAAGUGAUCAAGGGCACAACUUGCCUGGCACUUGAGAUUCCAGGUACCAACUUGCUCUUCAGGUGACACGUGUCCUCACGCUAGUCGUAGCAAUACAAACAAGUAGUGUAUAGGCAAAAUUAACAUCACACCAAACAUAAGAACAAACUGCGUAAUAACGAUCUACGCGAUACUACGAGAUCGUAGAAACAAGAACCACUAAAUUCGGAGCUACGGAUAUUGAGUUAUGAAUUUCCGAAAUCAAUUAGCACCUAGAAUAGAUUAAUUCAAUUGAGCAAUUUUAAUUCAAGUUUCAUGGUUAAACAAAGGUACUAAGUGAUAAACGAUAUUAAAACAAAAUUAAUGCCACUGAAAUGAAUCAAUUUGGAGUUAAAAUGAAUUAAAUAUGAAUUAAACAAGUUUUAAGAUUUAUUUUUAUACUACAAAUCAAUUUCUAAUAUUAAUUAUCUAGUUUCUCUGUUAUCUGGACUGCGCGUCAUUUACUAAGAAGCUCGAGGUUUAAUUCGCAAAAUCUACCAGACUCAACCCUGACCCGAGGUGGACGGCGGGUUGAUUCUUAUACUUCUCAGGGUCUCUUGUGUAAAACGCCUACGACGAAGGGGUAUGGUUAAUUCUGAGCCGCGAGAUCAGAUAGCGACGGUCCAGAUUAGAUCUGCCCCCAACGAACCGGUACGCGAUCACAUCCGUCCGAUCGACGACCGACGACGCGGAUUUAAAAUACUCCAACCCGCCCAGAAUCGCCCGAUCGAGAUCAAAUGGCUCAUAACCAAACUGGGCGAACCGGCAUCCAUAUCUAAUCGUGGCCACAUGCCCAUGAUCCAACGGCUGGCCGGGUUUCUUCCUCCCACGACGACUCCGGGCGGUGCCACUGUGUGCCCACGGCGGCGCCGUUGACAGCAACUGGGCAACCCGACCGGCCAGCGAUUCGGCCCCAAAUCGAAUCAAGGCUACCCGUUAAGAAGCCAACAACGAACGUGUGAGGGGGUUUCUUACCGGAUUUUAUGUUGCGAAGUCGUCCGCCCACGGUGGCGGCAAUUCUUCGAACGCCGGCGACGAAUUACGCCAGCAACGCAUGCCAAACGCACCCGGGAAAACCACGUACGGAAGCGGUGAACACCGGCGAUGCCCCAGGACCCGUCGUCGAGGCCAGAGCAACGAGGAGGACGCAGAUCAAUGGUGGCGGCAACCUCUCUGUUCCAUCUCUCUCCCAUGGAUUCGCUCAGCAAUAUGGAUCACGGCGGCUACUAACCCUCUUGGCGAGCACACGAUGGCGGCGUCAAUCGGGCACUGGACGAAGGUGAGGGCAAGUGGCUACGCGGCGGCUGUGAGGUCUUCCAACGGCGCGCGGCGUUGGGUUUCCUCCCGUGAUUUCUCUCUCCUCUGUUCUUGUGACCACGGUGGACCUCGGCGUUCGUUCACAGGGUCGGGCGAGGGAGCAGGGCUCGGGAUUUAUAGCGCCGCGGAUUCCGCAAGAGCUGGCGGGAGAACCGCGCCCUUCCAGGCCGAGUUCGUUCGAUCCGCACGGAUUCCGCGCCACCGGUACCGAGGUAGACAGAGAUACGCGCGUUUCUGUUACGAACGACGCGGCGGAGAAGAAGGAGCUGACCAUGCGGCCCCACGCGUAAGCGCCGCGAGCGGAACGCGAGAAGGAUAAGAGUGGCGGCAGCAGCGGAGCUGGCGGGCGCUGAUGGGCCUAGGGUUUAGGUUAGUUGGGCCAGGGAAAUUUGGCCCGCACAGGUAUGAGUCUCCUUUUCUGUUUUUUUUUUUUACUUUCUUAUUUUUGGCUGAGUUCAUAAAGUUCAAAUUCAAAUUUAAAUUUAAACAAAUUCUAAAUGCACAUUCAAAAUUCCAAUAUGAUGCAAAGUAUAUUUAUUUAUUAUUCCUAUUUCUCUAAAUAAACAUGCUUCAACACAUAAAGAAUGAAUCAUACAAUUAAAUAAUUAAGUACCCUUCUUGUAUUAUUAAAUAGAGUUAGUAAUAACUUAUUUCAAGAUUUAAAUGUUUAUUACCAUGAAAUCUUCAUGAGACAACACUUUCGUAUAAUUAUUUAGAGAAUAGUUUAAAGCAUAAGAUUUAAUGUUUAAUUAUUUAAGUCCCUAGAGGUUCUUUUCAUCGAUUACCUUGCUUCAAAACACAAGAAUUUAAUAUCUUGAGAAAUCUUUCCAAAUUUACCAGGAAUAUAAUUUUAGGUUGUUACAAAUUCUACCCCCCUUAAUAGAAAUCUCGUCCUCGAGAUUUGUAAGGACAGGGAUGUAAAAAGCUCUAUUUAUAAUUUAGCCUUUAACUUCUAAUUAGUUUAAGAAUUAAGAAGUUUCAUGUUAUUUAGAUAGUGGUUAUGAAAGCAUGGGUAUGUAUAUCCACUUUAUUAUGUAGUAUAAUAAGAUGUCUUUAAAGUAUGGAUGGGUUUGGGUACGAAAGAGUAAGGUAAGGAAAGACUCCAUCAAGAUUAUGGAUCUUGAUUCCUUUCAAAAUCUGGCUUGAAUCUUAUCUUUCCUUGAUUUGACGAGGUUGAUCACCUUUGAUCUUUGGUCUUGACAUCAUCAUCCGAGCUACCGACAUAUAGUUAGAAUAGCUUGUAGAUAAGAACAUUUAGCUAAUAGGUAGAUGGCAUAGGAUGAGUGUGCUAUAGCCAAACAGGGGUCUAGUUGCUUUGUUAGGUUGGCUAGGUACAAAUCUUUAGGAAUAUGUAGGUUAGUUGGGCAGGUUAGAAUAUUUUGUUGUGAAAUAAAUAGUUUAGGCAACCUAUCAAAAUAUAUAGGUUAGGUUGUUUGUGUAUUGAUCGGAUUGGCCUAAGCCACCAAUUUAGGUUUAGGUGAAUUAGGAGUAUGGCCCUAUUCCUUGUACCAGCAUUAAGUAACUCACUCUAGAUUAGAUCAUACUAGAUUAGAUAAAGUCUAGAUUAGGUUGGUAUGACUAGAUUAAACAAGUUUAAGUUAUAAAGAUUUACUAGGGUAGGAUAAAUAUCAUUAGGAUAUGUUAGAAUCUUUUGAGAUAAGAUGGAUCUAUUAAGAUAAGAGAGGGUAUUUUAAGAUAAGAUGGAUCUAUGAGUGUAGGAUAGAGUCUUUUAAGAUGAGAUGGAUAUUGUUAGGCUAGAUACUUUAAUGAGGGAUAAUCUAGUUUGUCUAGUUAUUUUGAUGAGCAUUUUUUUUCCUAUAUGUAUAUGCAGAUGUAAUUGUGGACAUUACUCCACAACUCAUCACACUCAAUCAAAGAUCCAAAUCAAACAAGUAUCAUAAGAACAAGCAUUCAAGCAUAUAGAUACUUACAAAAAUAGUUUUGAUUUUGUCCCUAAGAUGAGGUCUCCUAUCCUAAAGUUCACUAGAUUUCAAAGUGUGAAAUCCACAUUUGUCUUUAGAAAGGGAAAGGUGAGAAUAAUCAGAGUAAAGCAGAAAUAGAUGAGAAAAGAUUAAGAAAAGUUUAGAAAAGAAUCAGAGUAGCAAAGGUAAGUAAGUAAGGGGUGUCCAGUUCUAUCUAGGUUCCGUCCUACAGUCAACAUUCCUCUGAUACCACUUCUGUAACACCCGGAUUUUAGGGGUCCAAAACCCGGGCGCUAACAUAAACACCAGGUAUGCUGGGACCAAGUCUCACACAUAUGAUGUAAAGUGGCACAGGAUCGAAUGUCACAUCUUUAUAUAUAACAGGAGUUCUAUACAAAAUAAAUAAUUACAUUAUAAGGAGACAACGGUCCAGCAACCCAAAGUUGACUGGGAGACGACGGCCUAGACCACUCACGAACUCAUCACAGCAUCCUCCACGCGCCUCAUCCUGUGGUACCUGCUCCUGACCUGUGGGGGGGGUGUGAGACAGCAAGAGUGAGCUCACAUACGUUCAUCGCUCAGCAAGUUGUGGGGAAUAAUGUGUAUGAACUCGCCAAAGGUGGGAGCUCAUGUGAAGUGUAAGGCUUACCAAAGAGGAUGGCUGAAGCUGAGCAUUGCUUUUAAAGUUGGUCAAAUUUUUAUUAGCCAUUACUAAGUAUAAGUAAAUACCAACCCAAUUAAAUAGUAGAACAGAAGUAACAACAUCACCUGCGAUGCAAUGCAUAUGACAAAUUGAAUUUAAGUUCCAUAGAUUAAUCAUGUGAGUGUCCGAGCCGCUCAUGACCGUGAGCACGGCUAGUAUACCAGUUUUACACUCUGCAGAGGUUGCGCAUCUUUACCCACAAGUCAUGUUACCCAUCUGCCAAGGGAUCGCGAC